GACGAACGCUGGCGGCGUGCCUAAUACAUGCAAGUCGAGCGGAGUAAAAGCGUGCUUGCACGGUUUUAUUAGCGGCGAACGGGUGAGUAACACGUAGGUAACCUGGCCAUAAGACAGGAUAACGCACGGAACGUGAGCUAAAACCAGAUAGGCAUUUCCACGCAUGAGGGAGAUGAGAAAGGCGGAGCAAUCUGCCGCUUAUGGAUGGACCUGCGUCGCAUUAGCUAGUUGGAGUGGUAAAGGCACACCAAGGCGACGAUGCGUAGCCGACCUGAGAGGGUGAGCGGCCACACUGGGACUGAGACACGGCCCAGACUCCUACGGGAGGCAGCAGUA
rnacentral:rRNA from 1 species